rnacentral:rRNA from 1 species
ACGGAAGGCAGCAGUGGGGAAUAUUGCACAAUGGGGGAAACCCUGUUGCAGCGACGCCGCGUGAGUGAAGAAGUAUUUCGGUAUGUAAAGCUCUAUCAGCAGGAAAGAAAAUGACGGUACCUGACUAAGAAGCCCCGGCUAACUACGUGCCAGCAGCCGCGGUAAUACGUAGGGGGCAAGCGUUAUCCGGAUUUACUGGGUGUAAAGGGAGCGUAGACGGCUUUGCAAGUCUGAAGUGAAAGCCCGGGGCUCAACCCCGGAACUGCUUUGGAAACUGUAGAGCUAGAGUGCAGGAGAGGUAAGUGGAAUUCCUAGUGUAGCGGUGAAAUGCGUAGAUAUUAGGAGGAACACCAGUGGCGAAGGCGGCUUACUGGACUGUAACUGACGUUGAGGCUCGAAGGCGUGGGGAGCAAACAGGAUUAGAUACCCUGGUA